rnacentral:rRNA from 1 species
AGCUCCAAUAGCGUAUAUUAAAGUUGUUGCAGUUAAAAAGCUCGUAGUUGGAUUUUGGGGUACUGAUGAACCCGGUCUGCCGGGAUGGUGUGUACUGGUUCAUCUGCCCUUCCUUUCGGUUUGCUACCUUCUGCUCUUAACUGAGUGGGAGGCAAGCUCCGAAUCGUUUACUUUGAAAAAAUUAGAGUGUUUAAAGCAGGCCUAUCAUAUGCCUAAAUACUGCAGCAUGGGAUAAUAGAAUAGGACUCUGUGCCUAUUUUGUUGGUUUCUAGGUAUAGAGUAAUGAUUAAUAGAGAUAGUUGGGGGUAUUCAUAUUUAAUUGUCAGAGGUGAAAUUCUUGGAUUUAUGAAAGAUGAACUUCUGCGAAAGCAUUUAUCAAGGAUGUUUUCA